UACAGAGGUCUCAACCGUUGUUCGGAUUCAUUGGGCGUAAAGGGUGCGUAGGCGGUCGGGUAAGUCGGAUGUGAAAUCUCAGGGCUCAACCCUGAAACUGCAUUCGAUACUGCUUGGCUAGGGUACUGGAGAGGAGACUGGAAUUUACGGUGUAGCGGUGAAAUGCGUAGAUAUCGUAAGGAAGACCAGUGGCGAAGGCGGGUCUCUGGACAGUUCCUGACGCUGAGGCACGAAGGCCAGGGGAGCAAACGGG
rnacentral:rRNA from 1 species